UUGAUUGAGGAGAAUUUGAGACAGCUGAGGCGGCGGCAGGAGGAGAGGCUCCCCUCAGGGAACUUCACGCCCCACACAUUGCAGCAGGAGGGCCAGCAGGGCUGAAGAGGAGAGGCUCCCCUCAGGGAACCAGGGGGCUUCACGCCCCACACAUUGCAGCAGGAGGGCCAGCAGGGCUGAAGAGGAGAGGCUCCCCUCAGGGAACCAGGGGGCUUCACGCCCCACACAUUGCAGCAGGAGGGCCAGCAGGGCUGAAGAGGAGAGGCUCCCCUCAGGGAACCAGGGGGCUUCACGCCCCACACAUUGCAGCAGGAGGGCCAGCAGGGCAGAAGAGGAGAGGCUCCCCUCAGGGAACCAGGGGGCUUCACGCCCCACACAUUGCAGCAGGAGGGCCAGCAGGGCAGAAGAGGAGAGGCUCCCCUCAGGGAACCAGGGGGCUUCACGCCCCACACAUUGCAGCAGGAGGGCCAGCAGGGCAGAAGAGGAGAGGCUCCCCUCAGGGAACCAGGGGGCUUCACGCCCCACACAUUGCAGCAGGAGGGCCAGCAGGGCUGAAGAGGAGAGGCUCCCCUCAGGGAAUUAGGGGGCUUCACGCCCCACACAUUGCAGCAGGAGGGCCAGCAGGGCUGAAGAGGAGAGGCUCCCCUCAGGGAAUUAGGGGGCUUCACGCCCCACACAUUGCAGCAGGAGGGCCAGCAGGGCUGAAGAGGAGAGGCUCCCCUCAGGGAAUUAGGGGGCUUCACGCCCCACAUUGCAGCAGGAGGGCCAGCAGGGCUGAAGAGGAGAGGCUCCCCUCAGGGAAUUAGGGGGCUUCACGCCCCACACAUUGCAGCAGGAGGGCCAGCAGGGCAGAAGAGGAGAGGCUCCCCUCAGGGAACCAGGGGGCUUCACGCCCCACACAUUGCAGCAGGAGGGCCAGCAGGGCUGAAGAGGAGAGGCUCCCUUCAGGGAACCAGGGGGCUUCACGCCCCACACAUUGCAGCAGGAGGGCCAGCAGGGCUGAAGAGGAGAGGCUCCCCUCAGGGAAUUAGGGGGCUUCAUGCCCCACAUUGCCUCUAAGGGGCAGCAGCUGCUUUCCUUCCAUCCCAAGGGGAAAUGCUCUGAGGGAAGGCUGUCUCCAAGACAGCGCAAGGAAGGGCUCCAUGCCCAGCAGUGGCUUUUACCUCAGCAUUUUAAUGAGAAUAAUUAAUAAAUAGUCACUGAGGAAAGGCUGUCUCCAAGACAGGGCAAGGAAGGGCUCUAUGCCCAGCCUUGGCUUUUACCUCACCAAAAUAACGAUGAUAAAUCUCUGUUGCUUUAGAAAAAGGAGGAGGAAACCACUCAAGCCAUGCUACUCAGCCAGGAUAUGGCUGUUUAAAAGAAUACUUUGUGGGAGAGUGGUGGGAAUAUGGUCUUCAAGACCCCUGCCAAAAAGCAGUUUCUGAGGGGAAGAGAAGUUUCUGUGUGGGGAGUUCAUCUCUCUGCUUGGGCUUCAUUUUGUGCAAUAAAUAAAUAAAUAAAUAAAUCUGAGGGGAAGAGAAGUUUCUGUGUGGGGAGUUCAUCUCCCUGCUUUGGCUUCAUCUUGCCAAAAGAACUGAAACAAACCCCUUCGGAGGAUGCUGCAGCCGUGCUGACGUGAACAAAAGCCCUGCCACCUCACUGCCCACAUUUGUAGCAUUUGUCUGCAGAGGGCAAAACGCGACAGAUUCUCCCCGUCCUCAGAACACUGGGGCGCCACAGUCUUCUGCAUCACGGUGAAAAUCUGUCCACUCUUAGAGCGUUCUUUCUCUGUGCAUACAAAUGCUAGAAAUAUGGACCGCGUAGGGCAGGACUUCUGAGCGCAACGGCACAGGGGCUGUAGCAGGAAAUUCCCAGAGGCCAGGGGCUGCUGUGCAACUACAGACUGGCCCUUUUAGUCUGAGAAACCUGAGGCUCCUUUAUUCUCCCAACACUGUAAGGCAGCAUAAUUCCUAAGAGAGUGGCUGGCUUGAAUGGAACACCCUCCCUGUGCAUUAAAAGCCUUAGCGUUAUAGAUACUCGGAACACCUUUCUGAGGCAGUAUAAUCUAUAAUUUUCAGGCAGGCUUGUAUGGAACAUGCUUCAUGCAUGGGGGAAGCUUCAGGCUUCUUAAUUCUCUCAACAGAAGAGAGGGCUCUCCUUAUAUUCUCUCAAAUUAGUUUUAGUGAGUUAUAUCUUUUCAUAUUUGUGAACCGCCUAGAGCUAUCUGGAUGAGGGGAUAAAGAAACUUAAUGAAACAAUGAAUAAAUAAAACAGUUGUAGGAGGCAGCAUAAUCUCUAAGAUGGGGGCUGGCUUGUAUGCAUGAUAGAAGCACCAGGAUUCUUUAUAACUGCCAACUUUAUAGGGAAGGAUACUCUCCAAUUUAGCAGCUGCCAUUAACUUAACAUUUUUUGUGUGUGUUCUAUCCCCUAAACAUCACUUCGAGGAAAAUUUAGCAGGAAGAAAUGGAGUCGGUGCAUGUGUCCCUGCAACCUCCAGGCGGAAGAGCUGCUCUUGGAGCACCUUUUCCUCCCAGGAGGCCAGCGUGGCAGGUUUCAAGGAACAACCAACGGAGGCAACGUCACAGAAGACAUGAAAGGAGCCAACGACACAGACACACAAGGCAAGCCAAACCAAACCAAACCACAACCCAGGGGCUGCGUAGAAGCUUCAGGCUUCUCUCUUGUCCCAGUCAUCAUCAUCAUCAUCAUCAUCAUCAUCAUCAUCGUCACACACUUCAUUUGUGAGCCGCCACCCCAGAACAAAUAGUCCUCUGGGCAGCUCACAACACAACAUAACACAACACAGAAAAACGUCCAGGAAGAGCACAUACAACACAACAAACAAAUCACAACACAAAACUCCAGCUCUAGGAGGCGGCAGCAGCAUCUCUAAAAUGCUGGCUGCCUUGAAUAGAACACGCUUCAUGCGUGUUAGCAGCUUUGGGGGAAUUGCCAAGAACAGACACAAUACCACAGACACCUUGUAUUCUGCAAUUUAGGGAACACGCUUCACGCGUGUCGGAGGCUUCAAGCUUCUUUAGUCGCGCAACUAUUUUCUUGGGCUGCAUACACUCUAAGAUGCUGGCUGCCUUGAGUGGAAGAGGCUUCAUGCUUCUUCCAUUCUGUCCCCUCGACAACGCUGCGUGGCAAACUGGGCAAGAAGACACGGAGUUGGCGCAUGUGUCCCUGCGACCUCCAGGCCAGAGUGCUGCUUUUGGAGCAUCUUUUCCUCCCAGGAGGCCAGCGUGGCAGGUUUCAAGGAACAACCAACGGAGGCAACGUCACAGAAGACAUGAAAGGAGCCAACGACACAGACACACAAGGCAAGCCAAACCAAACCAAACCACAACCCAGGGGCUGCGUAGAAGCUUCAGGCUUCUCUCUUGUCCCAGUCAUCAUCAUCAUCAUCAUCAUCAUCAUCAUCAUCAUCAUCAUCAUCGUCGUCACACACUUCAUUUGUGAGCCGCCACCCCAGAACAAAUAGUCCUCUGGGCAGCUCACAACACAACAUAACACAACACAGAAAAACGUCCAGGAAGAGCACAUACAACACAACAAACAAAUCACAACACAAAACUCCAGCUCUAGGAGGCGGCAGCAGCAUCUCUAAAAUGCUGGCUGCCUUGAAUAGAACACGCUUCAUGCGUGUUAGCAGCUUUGGGGGAAUUGCCAAGAACAGACACAAUACCACAGACACCUUGUAUUCUGCAAUUUAGGGAACACGCUUCACGCGUGUCGGAGGCUUCAAGCUUCUUUAGUCGCGCAACUAUUUUCUUGGGCUGCAUACACUCUAAGAUGCUGGCUGCCUUGAGUGGAAGAGGCUUCAUGCUUCUUCCAUUCUGUCCCCUCGACAACGCUGCGUGGCAAACUGGGCAAGAAGACACGGAGUUGGCGCAUGUGUCCCUGCGACCUCCAGGCCAGAGUGCUGCUUUUGGAGCAUCUUUUCCUCCCAGGAGGCCAGCGUGGCAGGUUUCAAGGAACAACCAACGGAGGCAACGUCACAGAAGACAUGAAAGGAGCCAACGACACAGACACACAAGGCAAGCCAAACCAAACCAAACCACAACCCAGGGGCUGCGUAGAAGCUUCAGGCUUCUCUCUUGUCCCAGUCAUCAUCAUCAUCAUCAUCAUCAUCAUCGUCACACACUUCAUUUGUGAGCCGCCACCCCAGAACAAAUAGUCCUCUGGGCAGCUCACAACACAACAUAACACAACACAGAAAAACGUCCAGGAAGAGCACAUACAACACAACAAACAAAUCACAACACAAAACUCCAGCUCUAGGAGGCGGCAGCAGCAUCUCUAAAAUGCUGGCUGCCUUGAAUAGAACACGCUUCAUGCGUGUUAGCAGCUUUGGGGGAAUUGCCAAGAACAGACACAAUACCACAGACACCUUGUAUUCUGCAAUUUAGGGAACACGCUUCACGCGUGUCGGAGGCUUCAAGCUUCUUUAGUCGCGCAACUAUUUUCUUGGGCUGCAUACACUCUAAGAUGCUGGCUGCCUUGAGUGGAAGAGGCUUCAUGCUUCUUCCAUUCUGUCCCCUCGACAACGCUGCGUGGCAAACUGGGCAAGAAGACACGGAGUUGGCGCAUGUGUCCCUGCGACCUCCAGGCCAGAGUGCUGCUUUUGGAGCAUCUUUUCCUCCCAGGAGGCCAGCGUGGCAGGUUUCAAGGAACAACCAACGGAGGCAACGUCACAGAAGACAUGAAAGGAGCCAACGACACAGACACACAAGGCAAGCCAAACCAAACCACAACCCAGGGGCUGCGUAGAAGCUUCAGGCUUCUCUCUUGUCCCAGUCAUCAUCAUCAUCAUCAUCAUCAUCAUCAUCAUCAUCAUCAUCAUCGUCACACACUUCAUUUGUGAGCCGCCACCCCAGAACAAAUAGUCCUCUGGGCAGCUCACAACACAACAUAACACAACACAGAAAAACGUCCAGGAAGAGCACAUACAACACAACAAACAAAUCACAACACAAAACUCCAGCUCUAGGAGGCGGCAGCAGCAUCUCUAAAAUGCUGGCUGCCUUGAAUAGAACACGCUUCAUGCGUGUUAGCAGCUUUGGGGGAAUUGCCAAGAACAGACACAAUACCACAGACACCUUGUAUUCUGCAAUUUAGGGAACACGCUUCACGCGUGUCGGAGGCUUCAAGCUUCUUUAGUCGCGCAACUAUUUUCUUGGGCUGCAUACACUCUAAGAUGCUGGCUGCCUUGAGUGGAAGAGGCUUCAUGCUUCUUCCAUUCUGUCCCCUCGACAACGCUGCGUGGCAAACUGGGCAAGAAGACACGGAGUUGGCGCAUGUGUCCCUGCGACCUCCAGGCCAGAGUGCUGCUUUUGGAGCAUCUUUUCCUCCCAGGAGGCCAGCGUGGCAGAAUUCACAAAAGGCGGCAACCACAUGCAAGCCAAGGAAGGAGGAAAAGAGUCUCAUGGAAGAACCAAGAGGCAGGGACACACAAGCCACGAAGGAAUUAAAACAGUCCACGAUGAUGCACAAGAUAGCCAAACCAAGGGCUUUGUUCCUCACCACCCAGAAUCCUCUGUUAAUCUAGGGGCCAUCAGUAGAAACUUCAGGCUGCUUUGUUCUCCCAACAGCUGCGGAAGGCAGCAUGAUCUCUCAUUCUGUGGCUGCCUCGAAUGGAACACGCUUCAUGCAUGGAAGCUUCACGCGUCUUCAUUCUCCCAACAACAGCCUUGUCAAGCUGCAGAUCCUCUAAGAUGGUGACUGCCUUUAACAGGACACACUUCAUGUGUGCUGCAUGCUCAGCAGCCCUUUGUGGCAUGUUUGGAAAGAAGAAACAGAGUAGGCACACAUUUGCAAUGAUCUCCAUGCCGGAGUGGUGGUUUUGGAAUGUUUUCUCCUCCCAAGAGGCCUGUGUGGGAGGUAGGAUCAAAGACAGGGCAUGGACCAAGGUAAAGGGAUCCCACCACCGUCAAAAACAGAACUCUUAGGGUGUUGUAAGAGACAAUCGAACAGAAACUAGACUAAUGCCUGCUAUGAUGAGGCUCUUCAGCAGGGCACUGAAGAAUCUGUACAAAAUAGGUAUUGUUAUGGCUGACAAGCAGAACUAGGUUUCUCAGUAGUUACCCCUCAAUGGUUACUCUAAAGGAUGACUCAAUUUCAAUAGGGGUUGCAUUGGGUAAUUUUGCCAGCAUGUGAGCCGGUAUUCAUUAUGCAUUGACUUUUGCAAGAUGGGACAAAACAGCUGUGAAAAUAAUUACCAAGAAAUCUAAGAUUUUAUCCUGAGUGAACUUUUCAUAUUCUAACAGAAGAAUGUGGUAUUGCUCACACUUAAAAAUCAAUGAUAUGCCUUUUUCUUUUCCAGUGGGUUUCAAGAAAGAGCACAAGGAAUGAGGAGGACACAGAAGACAAGACAAGUUGACCUGAUCAAUCUUGUGAUGGAGAGGCGCUUUGUCAGAGAAUUGAAUAACUAUUCAACAUAGUCAUUCAGUUGUGUUCAUUAUAGUUAUGUGUAAAUAUUGAGCAUACAUAUUUAUUUCACACUGAUUGUUACAAGAGAAUGUAAAAAUGAAACUGUGAAAAGUAUAUUCAUCAAGUUUUGCUCACACUUCAAAUAAAUGACUUGACUUGUUCUUUCCCAGCAGAUUUCAGGAAGGAGCUGAAGGAGCAAGGAGAGUGAGGACAAGACAAGCUGUCCCAAUCUCUUUCGUGAUGAGGCUUCAUCAGAGAAUUGAAGGACAUAUACAAAAUAUAAAUAUGUAUACAAAUACUGAGCAUACUUAUUUAUUACAUACCAAUUGUCACAGGAGAAUAUAAAAAUGAAACUCUGAGAAAUGUAUUACUCAGGAAAUCUAAGGUGUCAUCCUUCAUAAAUGUCUCGUACUCUGUGGAUUUGCUCACACUUCAAAUAAAUUAUGUAACUUGUUCUUUGCCAACAGAUUUCAAAAACAGACCAAUGGAGGCGACAAGAGACAAGCCAUGCCAAGCAAAACUGCACUACUCUUUUAGGUCUUGUUUUUUCAGAUUAGUCUCAAAACCAGUGGCUGGCUGCUGCAAACAGAGGCUUCAAGCGUGAGUUUAUUUUAUCCUUGGCCCUGUGAGGUAAGUUAGCCUGGAAUAUUCUGUGCUGGCUUGAAGGGUUCAUGCCUAAAAAAUAAGAAUACAUUUGUUUACAUUGUUUGUAUCCUGCCUAUUCAAGAGCCUUAAACAACCAUCUCUUCAGCCUGGCUUUUAAUGAUAUGUUUUAAUCUUAAUUUUAAUUAGAUUUAAUCUUGUUUAAAUGUUUCUUGAUUUUAAUUGUUUUAUUCUGUGUGGGUUUUUUUUAAUUUUAAUGUAAACCAGCCUGAGCCAAUGAAUGAAUGAAUGAAAUAAUAAAUAUUCAACAAAAUGCUAUUCAGGGCCGCUUGACCUUUCUUAAAUGAAAAAAACAAAACAAAAAACAACAACCCCCCCUUCUAAAUGCAAAACAACAACAAAACCCACUAUUAAAUGCAAGCCCCCACACAACUAAAUUGAAAAAAACCACUACUAAAUGCAACAAAUACCCCAAACCCAUUACUAAAUGGAAAAAAAUCCACCACUAAAUGCACACACUCCACUAAUAAAUGCAAAAAACCAUUCACUACUAAAUGCAAUUAAACAGAAGAUAAAAUAGACAAGAAAAAAGAGCAUUCCCAACUAAAAACUGAGUAUUCUAAACAGGAGUUAAAAAAAACAACCAUUGGCUCUGUUCACCAGCCAUACUCAUUGAGCUGUGUUGGUUCACAUCAGGUUUUUUCACUCGUCAGGCAUCUUUUUUCACUUGUCACAGAUGGGUGGACUAGUGGAUUUUCUGAGCCUUGAUUCUAAACUUGGAUUGGAGAAAAAUGGAAUGUUUCUUGGUGCAGAUCUCCUGACCUUGCUGCUUUGCGUGAGUAUUUGUUCAGUGAAUCUGAAAAAACUGUUAUUGUGAUGUUUGAAACUAACACUUAACACAUUUGUUAAAGAUUUGUGUUAAUGUUUUAUUUUGAAACAUGAAUUAUUUGAAAUGAUGAAAGAAUUUUAAUAUGCUUAUAGAUUUUCUUUUUACCCAGCAGGUUGACUUGUAUACAGUGCCAUGUGGAUUGUGGAUAAAUCCCUACAAAGGAGGAUAUUGCAAGAAAUCAGAAAUUUAUAAAAGUGGCUAAUGUCAGAGAAGACCAGAAAAUUUCCCCCUAGCAGACUGAUUUAUAUAGACGGCCAUGUGGAUUGUUGGUAAAUCCCUACUUAGGAGGAUAUUUGAAGAAAUCCAAAGUGUAUUAAAGUGGCUAAUAUCAAAGAGGUAUGUAUUAACUCCUACUUAGAUGUUUUUACUCUCUUAUUAGGAUGUUAGAUAUACAGUUAAGUUGACUCUAUUUAAAGUUUUCCUUCUAGCAGAUUUCCCUCUCAAAAGAGACUUGUGCAGACAGGUUGAAAGUUGCUCUUACAAUAAGUGAUAUAGGGACAUAGGAGCUGAAGUCCUACGGUCAGGGUGAAGUGCUGGUAACCUCUCCCCUGUAGACUUCAAAGAAAGAGGAGAACUUUCUGCAACUUGAAGAAAAAAGAUGAAGUCUGAAGAAAAGAUUCACUGUGGAAGGAGCAGUUCACUUGCCAUGGAAUGUGAUGCUUUCUUGGUCCACGUAUUGAGAGACAGUUUAGUUUGUUACCAUUAAAUUGUUGUUCUGUA